rnacentral:rRNA from 1 species
GACGAGGAUAACCGUUGGAAACGAUGGCUAAGACUGGAUAGGAAUACGGGAGGCAUCUUCUGUAUUUUAAAAAGACCUGGCAACAGGUAUGCUUGAGGAGGGGCCUGCGGCGCAUUAGUUAGUUGGUGAGGUGAUGGCUCACCAAGACGAUGAUGCGUAGCCGGACUGAGAGGUUGAACGGCCACAUUGGGACUGAGAGACGGCCCAAACUCCUACGGGAGGCAGCAGUAGGGAAUUUUCGGCAAUGGGGGAAACCCUGACCGAGCAACGCCGCGUGAACGGCGAAGUACUUCGGUAUGUAAAGUUCUUUUAAGAGGGAAGAAUGGCCCGUGGAAAAGCGGGCGUGACGGUACCUUUUGAAUAAGCCCCGGCUAACUAUGUGCCAGCCGCCGC